CAUGUUGAACCGCAUGGUUCUACAGUGAAAGACGGUCUUGCUGUCACUUAUAGAUGGACCCGCGCCGUAUUAGCUAGUUGGUGGGGUAACGGCCUACCAAGGCGACGAUACGUAGCCGACCUGAGAGGGUGAUCGGCCACACUGGAACUGAGACACGGUCCAGACUCCUACGGGAGGCAGCAGUAGGGAAUCUUCCGCAAUGGGCGAAAGCCUGACGGAGCAACGCCGCGUGAGUGAUGAAGGUCUUCGGAUCGUAAAGCUCUGUUGUUAGGGAAGAACAAAUGUGUAAGUAACUGUGCACAUCUUGACGGUACCUAACCAGAAAGCCACGGCUAACUACGUGCCAGCAGCCGCGGUAAUACGUAGGUGGCAAGCGUUAUCCGGAAUUAUUGGGCGUAAAGCGCGCGUAGGCGGUUUUUUAAGUCUGAUGUGAAAGCCCACGGCUCAACCGUGGAGGGUCAUUGGAAACUGGAAAACUUGAGUGCAGAAGAAGAAAGUGGAAUUCCAUGUGUAGCGGUGAAAUGCGCAGAGAUAUGGAGGAACACCAGUGGCGAAGGCGGCUUUCUGGUCUGCAACUGACGCUUAUGUGCGAAAGCGUGGGGAUCAAACAGGAUUAGAUACCCUGGUAGUCCACGCCGUAAACGAUGAGUGCUAAAUGUUAGGGGGUUUCCGCCCCUUAUGCUGCAGCUAACCCAUUAAGCACUCCCCCUGGGGAGUACGGUCGCAAGACUGAAACUCAAAGGAAUUGACGGGGACCCGCACAAGCGGUGGAGCAUGUGGUUUAUUUCUAACCAACCCGAAAACCUUACCAAAUCUUGACAUCCUUUGACCGCUCUCAAAAUAGAGUUUUCUUCUUCCGAGAACAAAAUAACAGGGGGUGCAGGGGUUGUCGUCCCCUCC
rnacentral:rRNA from 1 species